UGAUUGACUUGAUUGCAGCCGGUCCAGUUAAAAGGAAAAAAUGGCCAGCCCAAUCACCUAUACAGACACACUGACAUCUAUUAAAAAUAUUGACAGAAUUAACCAAUUAAUUUAAUUUACAGAAGUAAGAAUAAAUCCUAAAUUCUUGUCGAAAUUUUGAUAGAGUCUCUCUUAUAACUGGACCUAACUCCCUACAAAAAAACUCAGCAAAAAGCAAUACAUAGGGCCUCAGGCCCACAACAAUAAUAUCACAUGCCCAUCCGGGGCCUACAAGAUCCUAAUCUAAGUCCAAUUAUGCAAACUCUAAUUCAAGUUCCAAACCCCUCUACAAUGCAAACAAUUAUUUUAAGCACUUUAAAAAUUAUAAAAAUA
rnacentral:misc_RNA from 1 species